UGAAGCUGACGGCCAUCAAACUGGAGUACAGUUGUCCCACGUGCAUGCCACCGAGCGCACCGUCGGCUUUAGGGGCCCCCUGGGAUCACAGUUGCAACCCAAAUGACGUCACUGUUGGGAUUGCCUCCCACACUGCUUUUCCAGACCUCGAUUACAUGCUGUGCAUUCAGGUGCCAGGGAUGUCGUUAAUUCUCAACAAUGGCUACCUUACCUUGAACAACGCAAGAUCUUGCAAUACAUUAGUCAAUGUUUCUAACACGGUGAUUAACAGUUUGUGGGGCAACAAGCAGUAUUACAAUCCGCCCACCUCUCUCGGCUAUCCCUGUCGCCAUAUCUUUUCCAAUCAAAAGGUUGACUUGACCAGGUGCCUAAACGCCACAGAAACUUACCGGUACGUUAGCGACGUCAGAAGGCCCUUGAAGAUGCUCCUCUGUCCUCCUCACAUGGUGGCACAGGCACUCCACGCCACUGCCACCGUCAGGGCUUUCGUCACCUGUUGCCUCUUAUACUAAGGGCUCUCACGUUGACCAGGCAGAUGCUUAGAAUAUACCUAAUCUCAUUGUUGUUGUCACAGUAUACGACAAGUACAGGACAUUAUGUUCAACUAUAUUCACAGAAAUUAACAGAUAAAGGGAAUGUUUGCUAAGUGUCACAUUUUCUUUUCUAGAAAUGUGUCUGCAUUUUUAUGCACGUAAAUGUAAUAGGUCUAGAUCAGAUGUAUUUAAAUUAGCAAUGUCAACACUCCAAUAGAAAAAAAAUAGGUUCAACUCGUU